rnacentral:lncRNA from 1 species
CAGCUCUGACUGACAGCUAAUGUUCUGUUUGGCUUUGCAGAUCUGAUGCCCGUUUGCUGGACGUGCCCACAGGGCGGUCACCACGGCGGGCGGUAAGUGCGCUCUGACCUGCCCCUUCUGACCUCUUGACCACUGGCCAAGCUAGGAAUUUUCCCAGUGAUUUUCUUUUCUGUUUCUUUGCAGGUCAUCGUUGAUUAAGAUAAUUUUUUUAAUGUGUCAUUGCAUGAAUCUCCAUCUCCAUCUCUGGAAAUUGAGUAAAUUCAUAGAAGAAAAGUUGAUUACUGUUUAGAUACUUGUUUUGUCAUUUUGAAUGGGAAAUAUUGAAAACUAAAAUUAAACGUACAUAAAUGCUAUAUCAGACUCAUUUUUAUUCAAGUAAAGUACAACAUUCAGUGUUAUAGUCAUCGCUAUUUAUUCUAUGGUUUAGGUAAAAUAUUUGGGAAAAUAACCCCUAAUGUAAUGGCAUG